rnacentral:rRNA from 1 species
UACAGAGGUCUCAAGCGUUGUUCGGAUUCAUUGGGCGUAAAGGGUGCGUAGGUGGCGCGGUAAGUCGGGUGUGAAAUCUCGGGGCUUAACUCCGAAACUGCAUUCGAUACUGCCGUGCUUGAGGACUGGAGAGGAGACUGGAAUUUACGGUGUAGCAGUGAAAUGCGUAGAUAUCGUAAGGAAGACCAGUGGCGAAGGCGGGUCUCUGGGCCACUACUGACGCUGAGAAGCGAAAGCAUGGGGAGCGAACAGG